GAAUUUUUUACUUAAAUGUUUAAAAACUGUCAAAUGUCACGCUAACAUUAUCCGUUAGGUACUCUUGUACCAUUUAAAAACAAAAUUCAAAAUUGCCAACUCAAAUUCACACUUCAAUACGUCAUCACUUUUUGAAGAGACUUGAUGUAUCAGCUUACACUGUUGUAAAUUGUUAUACUUACAAGAAAACACCAGCUGAAGCAUUCUUUCUUUACCAUUUUUAUACAUUUUGAACUAAUUUUGGUACGUUAGAAAUUUGUAGAAACCUGUAAAAUGUUGACGGCCUUAAGAUUUGUUUCUCCGCUUUAUUGUUUUCAGUUGGCAACACAGUUGCCAGAUGUCAUUAUUAUGUCAAGUAUUAGGGUGACAGGUUGACAGGUGUGUUCCAAUAAUAAUAAUGAAUAAUUUCGAUGUAAAUAACAUUGAUAAGAUGUGUAGAGCGUGUCUAUCAGGAGAAAAUGAGAUGAUGUCAGUCUUGGAUUCGGAAUUGAGGGAUAUGUUUAUAUUUUGUACAUCUCUAGAGUUUGAUACCGAUGAUAAGUUGCCACAAUCAAUUUGUAAUAAAUGCAAAGACCUACUAGUAAAUGCUCACACAUUCAAAAAUAUCUGUAUCAAAUCAAACACUCUUCUAAAGCAACAUUUGUUAACUAAUUAUGAAAUUGAUGACUUGGAUUUAAAACUUGAUGAUCUCUUUAAAAUUGAUUUUGACGAGAAUUGUGAUGAGUCUAAACCUAAUUCACCAGAAACAAUAAAACCAUCAGAACUCAAUAAUAAAAAAACACGACGCCAGAAUAAAAAUUUCAAAUUUCACUGUGAGACAUGUUCAGAGGGUUUUAACUUAGAGGAUGAUUUGGUUUUGCAUAGUAUAGCUCAUCCUAAAGACGGCAUACCGAAAUGCACCAUUUGUGAUAAAUUAUUCAACACAUUAAAAAUUCUUAAACGCCACGUUCGUAUACAUUUUAAGUCUAAACCGUUUGAAUGUGACCUUUGCUCACAUACUUUCACAGAAUCUGGAAGUUUGACAAGGCACUUGAGAAAACAUACGGGCGAAAAGCGGCAUUUGUGUACCGUUUGUGGUAAAGGUUUUUAUGAAGCUAAUGUCUUAGCAGUUCAUAUGAGGACUCACACUGGGGAAAAGCCAAUAAAAUGUGAAGUUUGCGGUAAAAAAUUUGCAGACCCAAAUGGAUUAAGGAGUCACGUAAAGUCGCAUUCAGGCGAGAAAAAAUAUUCGUGUAAAAUAUGUAAUAAAUGUUUCUCACAUUCGUUUGUUUUGAAAAAACAUUUGAGGAUCCACAGUGGCGAAAGACCUUUCUUGUGUACAGUUUGUGAGUCACUAUGUGUCAGUACAUAUGAGGCAACAUACAGGGGAAUUACCGUAUGGUUGUACAGUAUGUAAAAAACGAUUUGUCCAAAACAGCCAACUAGAAAUGCAUCUGAGGACUCAUACAGGCUACAAACCUUACAUUUGCAAUGUGUGUGGUAAAGCUUGCGCCCGAUCUGGUGAUUUAGUAAUUCACAUGAGGACCCACACUGGUGAAAAACCAUUCACUUGUACAAUCUGUUUGAAAAGCUACACGACUUCCAGUCAUUUAAAAGUGCACAUGAGGACACAUA